UUUUAUUCUAACUGUAUUUUGAUAUUAAAAUAUAGAUAUGGUGGAAGCUGAGCUAUGCAUCCACAUUUUGAAAUGCCAACUCAUAAUAGGGACUGGGUCAUCACUGCCUACUACAUCUACUGUGGAGUGAAGCAGACCUUAGCUUCACCUCUACCUUUUCAUUAUCAGAGCCCUGCUUGUCCUUAUCAUUCAUGAACCUGUGCUGCCCGACAUGAUUUUUUGGCUACUCGACAACGUCUCUGCUCAUUCCCUAUUUGUAUUGCAUUUGGUGUAUCGUUUCAGCUACCUGCUGCAUUCAGGACUCCAUCCACUUUUAUGAUAUAAAUAUGGAGCUCGCUGAAAUACUGUAGAUGCCUACUGCACUGACACGACAGGUGUCCAC